GCUUACGGCCAUACCACCCUGAACACGCCCGAUCUCGUCCGAAGCUAAGCAGGGUCGGGCCUGUUAGUACUUGGAUGGGAGACGCCUGGGAAACCAGGUGCUGUAAGCU
rnacentral:rRNA from 1 species